rnacentral:lncRNA from 1 species
UCAUUUAAUUGAACGCCUAAUUAUACCCAUUUAUCAGCACUUUUUCACGUCUUGUUGUAACCAAAGGUUCCUCUUUUUUGUCUAUAAAUAACCACAUAGACACUUUCAUUUCUCUCAUUCUACUGCUUCCUCUUAGGUUUACGACACUAGCAAAAGAAAAAAUAUAGAUUUUCCUUCAAUUGUUGCAGCACUGUACUUCUGCCAAAGCCAUGGCUGCGCUAGAAAAAGAAAAACAUAUGGUACCUAAACAAGAGUACUUAUCUUGAAACAUGAAGUGGAGUUAUCCCAGCUUAUUCUUCUUACAUGGUUUUCUUGUUUUUUCUAAUUUUAAAAGAUCGAUUCGAGCUUUCUUGAUCUUGCAAGUCCGAGGUCUUCUCAUAUAGCUGUCAAAGUAACAAAGUUGUUAAAAUUCUCGCCUUGUUUCUAUCCCUUGUGAGCUUAUACUUUUUUAAUACAAACUCUUUCGAUAAGAUUGGGUCAUGUCAUUUUAUUUCAUAUUAUGAUGCAAAUACAUGUUGCCUUUUCGUGUAUGCGAGGAUUUCUGGUUGUGUAUUGAAAUACUGAUGCAAAAUAUAUAAUCCAGUUUAGUUCUCCACUCUUUUGCUCCUCUAAUUAUAGAAUACCAUUAUCUCAAAAAGCAGCUACCGAUAGUAUAAAAAGACGCGAAAAUAAUUUAUAAAAAAGGAAAAUUGUAAAACAUAGUAAUUUCAGUUGUACUUAAGGCCUAGCUCCAAUAAUUACAACGGAACAGUUUUUUUGGUCAGUUUAUUCCAGC